rnacentral:rRNA from 1 species
GCCCAGAUGGGAUUAGCUAGUAGGUGGGGUAACGGCUCACCUAGGCGACGAUCCCUAGCUGGUCUGAGAGGAUGACCAGCCACACUGGAACUGAGACACGGUCCAGACUCCUACGGGAGGCAGCAGUGGGGAAUAUUGCACAAUGGGCGCAAGCCUGAUGCAGCCAUGCCGCGUGUAUGAAGAAGGCCUUCGGGUUGUAAAGUACUUUCAGCGGGGAGGAAGGGAGUAAAGUUAAUACCUUUGCUCAUUGACGUUACCCGCAGAAGAAGCACCGGCUAACUCCGUGCCAGCAGCCGCGGUAAUACGGAGGGUGCAAGCGUUAAUCGGAAUUACUGGGCGUAAAGCGCACGCAGGCGGUUUGU